rnacentral:misc_RNA from 1 species
GAUGAAGAACGCAGCGAAAUGCGAUAAGUAGUGUGAAUUGCAGAAUUCAGUGAAUCAUCGAAUCUUUGAACGCGCAUUGCGCCCUUUGGUAUUCCUUAGGGCAUGCCUGUUCGAGCGUCAUUUAAACCUUCAAGCUAAGCUUGGUGUUGGGUGACUGUCCGCUUCACGGCGGACUCGCCUCAAAAUUAUUGGCGGCCGGUACAUUGGCUUCGAGCGCAGCAGAAACGCGAACUCGGGCCCGUCGUAUUGGCUCCCAGAAGCUAUCUUCACAAUUUUGACCUCGGAUCAGGUAGGGAUACCCGCUGAACUUAAGCAUAUCAAUAAGCGGAGGA